UAACACGUAGGGGGCGAGCGUUGUUCGGAAUUACUGGGCGUAAAGGGCAUGUAGGCGGUUCUGUAAGCCUGACGUGAAAGGCUAUGGCUCAACCAUGGCACUGCGUUGGGAACUGCGGGACUUGAAUCAUGGAGAGGGAGCUGGAAUUCCAGGUGUAGGGGUGAAAUCUGUAGAUAUCUGGAAGAACACCAGUGGCGAAGGCGAGCUCCUGGCCAAUGAUUGACGCUGAGGUGCGAAAGUGUGGGGAUCAAACAGGAUUAGAGACCCUGGUAGUCCACACUGUCAACGAUGUGCACUAGGUGCUGGGGCGGACGCUUCAGUGCCGGAGCUAACGCGGUAAGUGCACCGCCUGGGGAGUAUGCUCGCAAGGGUGAAACUUAAAUGAAUUGACGG
rnacentral:rRNA from 1 species